rnacentral:rRNA from 1 species
UGAACGCUGGCGGCAUGCCUUACACAUGCAAGUCGAACGGUAACGCGGGGCAACCUGGCGACGAGUGGCGAACGGGUGAGUAAUGCAUCGGAACGUGCCCAGUAGUGGGGGAUAGCCCGGCGAAAGCCGGAUUAAUACCGCAUACGACCUACGGGUGAAAGGGGGGGAUCGCAAGACCUCUCGCUAUUGGAGCGGCCGAUGUCAGAUUAGGUAGUUGGUGGGGUAAAGGCCUACCAAGCCGACGAUCUGUAGCUGGUCUGAGAGGACGACCAGCCACACUGGGACUGAGACACGGCCCAGACUCCUACGGGAGGCAGCAGUGGGGAAUCUUGCACAAUAGAGGAAACUCUGAUGCAGCGAUGCCGCGUGAGUGAAGAAGGCCUUUGGGUUGUAAAGCUCUUUUGUAGGGGAAGAUAAUGACUGUACCCUAAGAAUAAGGUCCGGCUAACUUCGUGCCAGCAGCCGCGGUAAUCUGAUGGCGCGAGG